UGCAGUCAUACGAGAGUUUUUACUCAAGUGGCGGACGGGUGAGUAACACGUAAGAAUUUGCCUUUAGGAGGGGGAUAAAACUGGAGGCAGUUGGUAAUACCCCAUAUGCUUUCGAGUAAAAUGGAGUUUUCCGCCUAGAGAGAAGCUUGCGGCUGAUUAGCUUGUUGGUAAGGUAAUGGCUUACCAAGGCGACGAUCAGUAUCUGGUUUGAGAGGGCGAUCAGACACACUGGAACUGAGACACGGUCCAGACUCCUACGGGAGGCAGCAGUGGGGAAUUUUCCGCAAUGGGCGAAAGCCUGACGGAGCAAUACCGCGUGAGGGAUGACGGCCUAUGGGUUGUAAACCUCUUUUUUCAGGGAGGAAUAAAAUGACGUGUACCUGAAGAAUAAGCAUCGGCUAACUCCGUGCCAGCAGCCGCGGUAAUACG
rnacentral:rRNA from 1 species